UAUGAAGGGGGCUAGCGUUGCUCGGAAUCACUGGGCGUAAAGGGCGCGUAGGCGGACUUUUAAGUCGGGGGUGAAAGCCCAGGGCUCAACCCUGGAAUUGCCUUCGAUACUGGGAGUCUUGAGUUCGGAAGAGGUUGGUGGAACUGCGAGUGUAGAGGUGAAAUUCGUAGAUAUUCGCAAGAACACCGGUGGCGAAGGCGGCCAACUGGUCCGAUACUGACGCUGAGGCGCGAAAGCGUGGGGAGCAAACAGG
rnacentral:rRNA from 1 species